rnacentral:rRNA from 1 species
UACGUAGGGUGCAAGCGUUAAUCGGAAUUACUGGGCGUAAAGCGCGCGCAGGCGGCCUUUUAAGUCUCGUGGUGAAAUGCCGGGGCUCAACCCCGUGCCCGCCGGAGAUACUGGGAGGCUGGAGACAUGUAGAGGCAAGCGGAAUUCCGGGUGUAGCGGUGGAAUGCGUAGAGAUCCGGAAGAACACCGGAGGCGAAGGCGGCUUGCUGGGCAUUGUCUGACGCUGAGGCGCGAAAGCGUGGGGAGCGAACAGG